GAUGAACGCUGGCGGCGUGCCUAAUACAUGCAAGUCGAGCGAACAGACGAGGAGCUUGCUCCUCUGACGUUAGCGGCGGACGGGUGAGUAACACGUGGAUAACCUACCUAUAAGACUGGGAUAACUUCGGGAAAACGGAGAUAAUACCGGAGAAUAUAUUGAACCGCAUGGUUCAAUAGUGAAAGACGGCUUUGCUGUCACUAAUAGAUGGAUCCGCGCCGCAUUAGCUAGUUGGUAAGGUAACGGCUUACCAAGGCAACGAUGCGUAGCCGACCUGAGAGGGUGAUCGGCCACACUGGAACUGAGACACGGUCCAGACUCCUACGGGAGGCAGCAGUAGGGAAUCUUCCGCAAUGGGCGAAAGCCUGACGGAGCAACGCCGCGUGAGUGAUGAAGGUCUUCGGAUCGUAAAACUCUGUUAUUAGGGAAGAACAAAUGUGUAAGUAACUAUGCACGUCUUGACGGUACCUAAUCAGAAAGCCACGGCUAACUACGUG
rnacentral:rRNA from 1 species